rnacentral:rRNA from 1 species
AUUGAACGCUGGCGGCAGGCCUAACACAUGCAAGUCGAGCGGAUGAAGGGAGCUUGCUCCUGGAUUCAGCGGCGGACGGGUGAGUAAUGCCUAGGAAUCUGCCUGGUAGUGGGGGAUAACGUCCGGAAACGGGCGCUAAUACCGCAUACGUCCUGAGGGAGAAAGUGGGGGAUCUUCGGACCUCACGCUAUCAGAUGAGCCUAGGUCGGAUUAGCUAGUUGGUGGGGUAAAGGCCUACCAAGGCGACGAUCCGUAACUGGUCUGAGAGGAUGAUCAGUCACACUAGAACUGAGACACGGUCCAGACUCCUACGGGAGGCAGCAGUGGGGAAUAUUGGACAAUGGGCGAAAGCCUGAUCCAGCCAUGCCGCGUGUGUGAAGAAGGUCUUCGGAUUGUAAAGCACUUUAAGUUGGGAGGAAGGGCAGUAAAUUAAUACCUUGCUGUUUUGACGUUACCAACAGAAUAAGCACCGGCUAACUUCGUG